AUUGAACGCUGGCGGCAUGCCUAACACAUGCAAGUCGAACGCGAAAGAGAGGCAACUCUCAAGUAGAGUGGCGGACGGGUGAGUAAUACGUAGGAAUCUGCCCUAGAGUGUGGGAUAACUUGUCGAAAGACGGGCUAAUACCGCAUAAUCUCUAAGGAGCAAAGGUGCCUCGCACUUGUGCGAGGUUUCGCUUUAGGAUGAGCCUACGUCGGAUUAGCUAGUUGGUAGGGUAAUGGCCUACCAAGGCGACGAUCCGUAACUGGUCUGAGAGGAUGAUCAGUCACACUGGAACUGAGACACGGUCCAGACUCCUACGGGUGGCAG
rnacentral:rRNA from 1 species